GGUCGUGGGGUCCACUUUACAAUUCCAGCCACAAAGGGGACGGGCCAGCGACGGCCUUCACAGCAAGGACUCUGAGAGCGAUUCUCAAACGGCCGCCCAUCACGGAUCAAUGGUAGCUGGCGGUGAACACCGUUCUCUGGCCCAGCUCCCGCCCCAGACACUGACUCUAAAACAGCAUUUCCGAGUCCUCUCAACGGACUAAAGCCAAGCUCUCCAUCAGAUGGCACGGCCCGGAGGACGUCAAGAUUUCUGCCCACGGUCUAAGCAUGGUCAAAGGCCUCUUACUGGCCCUGCAAAGCCGAGGCGCAAGUCAGGUCCCCAGGGCCUCACGCCUUCUCUCAGGAAGGAAUCUUCCCCGGAGAGGGGCAAUUCCCACAGUCAUCCCCGAACCCACCAGACCUGCCUGACCUUCUGCAGCACCUCCCCCAGAACUGGCACCCCCUCCCUGCACUGUCUGGACUGAUAACACCGUACGUAGCCCAUGGGAGGAAGUCUGGCCACAGCGACGACGCAUGCCUUGCCCCCCACUUCUGGCAGCUCCCUGAUGGAAUAAGGUGAUGGCAAACCUCUAAAGGAAAAAUCAUAGCUGCAUAUAACACAGUCUCAGAACCCACUCUUAGCAACAUGGACUUUAGAAAUGAGAGCUUUCUGCUAGGUGAAAAUUUCGUCUCUCAAUUUGAAAGCAUGGCCCCACAUGUACAGUUUUAACUUUUAAUUUGUUUUUAUUAGACAAAAAUUAUAAAACUUCUCAUACAACUUGUGGCCCCCAGAAAAAUCUUCCUCAGGUCCCAAUUUGAGAAACCCUGGACUGGCGGAUGAAGCCAGUGCUCCUCGCGACCCUCAAGGAUGGAGCUCCCACCUUGUUGCACCACACUGUCGGGGUUUCCAGGAGCUUCGAGUCUGGGUGCUGCCCCCUCCUCCAGCUUAGUUCUGGCUGGUUUACUAAGCACUUUCUGUGGAUUUCCCCAUGUUCUCCUCCCGACCUAGGAGGGAGUUAGGAUCACUGGUUCCACCUCACGGAAAGAAAAUUGGGGGCUUGGGGGGCACGGCAUGGUUAGUAAGCCAUGGACCCAGUAUGGGACUCCGCAGCUGGACCACGCUGUUCCUGUUUUACUGCUCAUAUGUGUUGAGGAGUUUGCCGAAGGAGGGCAGGGUCAGACUCAUCUUAUUGAUUAACUGACUGGAGAUGGGGUUGCCUUCAUUUUUAACAGCUUUCCUGGGAGUCUAAUCGAUGAAUAAACGCAUCGUUAAACGGUACAAUU